ensembl:snRNA U6 U6 spliceosomal RNA
GUACUUGCUUUGACAGCACACACAGUAACAUUUGCAACGUACAAGGAAGAUUAACUGACCUGCUGCACAAAGAUGACACACAAAUUUGUGAAGAUGGUUCUUUUUAU